rnacentral:rRNA from 1 species
GUCCACGCCGUAAACGAUGAAUGCUAGCCGUUGGGCAGCUUGCUGUUCAGUGGCGCAGCCAACGCAUUAAGCAUUCCGCCUGGGGAGUACGGCCGCAAGGUUGAAACUCAAAGGAAUUGACUGGGGCCCCGCACAAGCGGUGGAGCAUGUGGUUUAAUUCGACGCAACGCGCAGAACCUUACCAGGGUUUGACAUCCUGCGACCGCCUCCUAAUAGGGGUUUUCCCGCAAGGGACGCAGAGACAGGUGCUGCAUGGCUGUCGU